GUCACGGCCUGGCAGUUUGCCUGGUCUGAGUGGCCUUUGCUGGAUGGAAUCUUCUCUCAAAUUGCUGGGUUGCAGCCUGCCAAGGAAGAGACUGUGUGGCACGACCCACUGUGUGAAAUUCACGCCAGGUAGAGGGCUACCCUGAAUGGGAUCAGAUGCCAUCUGCAGUCCCAUCGAGGACACACUGUGACCUACCUGCGGAUCUUCUCCUCUGGAUGGAGCACCGACCCACAGGAGAGACCAGGGCCUGGUGGCACUACCCACCCCUCCCAGCACCUCUCCUGGCAUCGGACCGUGGACACUGGCCUGCUAUACCCACUGUGUGGUCGCCGAGACUAGAGCGCAAGUCCCUGGGGCCAGCCCCGCACAUGCCACAUGGUCACCCGACUGGGUGGGGCAGAAAGGCUGUGUGGGCUUCUGGGGAGGAUGAGGGGGCCGGCAGCCCCUUCACGGCCAGGUGGUGCUGCUGCUGGUGUGUAAACCCCGACCUGGGGGUUCUCCCUUUUGCACCGCAAGGGCCUGACUUCAGCACUGAUGGCUGUGCACACGGCCAGCCACGAGCCGAGCCAGGACAGAUGCAGGCGCCGCUCCACAAGGGGGCUCCUCUGUUUAGAGCGCUCGGGGGAUUUUCAUGACGGACCGUUUGGGCUGUGUGGUCUCGCUCCUGCCGCACUUCAAAUCCCUGUGUGUUUCACACGUUUAUUCUUGAAGUACAGUCGAAUGCUUUGCUGGGCCAGCCAGGUGCCCCAGUAAGUGUAUUUCAAGUAGAGGCGGAUGCUCUGUGGACUGAGCCCACCAGGCACCCCAGAUUCCUGGAUGUAAAGAGCGAAACUCUACGCCUGCGCCCCUGUGGCCGAUAAAAGCAGAACCCCAGGCAGGUGAAGCUGCUGUCUCCAGCUGUGUGGCCCCAGGUGUGCCGUGUAACCCACGCUUCCUACAAGUGAUAAGCUUUUCUCCCCCCUUCAAUGUUUCCUGAGGGCUGUUUCUGAAAGGCGUGUUGGGAUCACGAAGCAGUACAAGGGCUGGUCCAGCCACAACACUGGUGGUUACAAAUCUCUGAAAGUCUCAUCAAAAUCCUUACACUCUCGGGGCGCCUGUGUGGCUCAGUCGGUUAAGCGCCCGACUCCGGCUCAGGUCACGGUCUCACCGUUGGUCAGUGUGAAUCCCCAGUCGGGCUUCUGCUAACAGCGUGGAGCCCACUUUGGAUCCUCUGUCUCCCUGUCUUUCUGCCCCUCCCCUGGCCGCGCACUCUCCCUCAAAAGUAAAUGAACAUUAAAAUAAAUACUUCCCCCUUUUAAGACUUCUGAAAACAUGGAAAACGCCUGAAAAAGCUUAUAUUUUAUCCCUUUUUUCCUCGCAAAUUCUUAAGGCGUCCUCAUCAUUUAACAAGACCGUGAAAUAACCUAGACGUCUUACGUCUAUGAAAUUGCUUCAAAGAACAGAUUCCACUACUUUUAAAAAUUUGGCUUGAGAGGCUGGCAAGUAGAACUUCAUGCCUAAACCUUCAGGAGCUUGACUUGGACUUACACUUACGUCCGCUUUAUUUGGAGACACCUAGAGGAAAACACUGAACGUGUGGAGCGGGUAUUUGCCCUGUUUUACCGUGUGCACGCCCUGACUGCCCAGACGGCUGGCACAACCGGGAACAGGACUCAAAGCACCACUGUUGGCUCAGUACCUCACACAGGUCUCCCCUUCCUGCGGGGAAAGUGGGUACCCUCCUCGGUUAGGGAGACGGUGACAGGCCCUCACUAAAGAGGACGGGGGUGGGGGCUGCAAGAGGGAGCCAUCACUCUCCGUGCGCAUUGCAGCGGGAGCACUCAAUUAGGGACCCCAGAUGCAAGUCUCAACAGGAAGACUCACCCCUUACAGAUCCCAGCAGGGGAAGGGGCACCCUGCACCUACCAGGAGGAACCCCCACCCCUGCAAGUCAACCAGGCAGAAAGUGUCAUGUCAAGUCUUGAUUCUGUCCAAAGUUUCUUCCAGAACAACCCCUGCCAACUUACUGCUUCUCCACACAGCAGAACCCUUGUGUGUUGGGCUUGUCCAGUUUUGCUUCCUUGUCCCAAGUCACAGUUCUCUUACUCCCAGAUAAACCCUUUUUUCGCUGGUAAAAUAACUUAUUUUAAAGGUUAACGUUAGUGAAUUAAAGCAGGGGUUUUUGUUUUGGGUUAAAAACUGUUAUAAAAGGAUUAUAAAACUGUAAGUAAAAGGAUUCCUAUAGUUCAGAUACGUCCUGUCUUACACGAAAAUGUUUAACUAGAAUAUUCGUUUGAAUGCGAACUGCCAAGAAGUGAACGCCACCCCUGUCCCAUGCAGGCGUACUUUGCACAAGGUUCUGCUUGAAAUCAGCUAGACGGCUGGUGACGCCUAAGAAUGUAUGCAAUGGGGUCAAAGUGGGCAUCUCUGGUCCUUCCAAAGGGUGCGCAGAGAGUCACAGGUGGUCCCGUUCAGCAUCCUGACACCUGUGGGCACCGCUCUGCCAGGCCAUCGUCACCUGGUGGGGCCGGGCUUCCUACUUGUCAUGCCUGGGGACCCGGUCUGGCUGUUUGGUUAGGCUUGGAACUCUGGGCUUCUGACAUGAGAGAGCGCAGG